UACGUAGGUGGCAAGCGUUAUCCGGAUUUGCUGGGUGUAAAGGGCGUGUAGGCGGGGACGCAAGUCAGAUGUGAAAACCACGGGCUCAACCUGUGGCCUGCAUUUGAAACUGUGUUUCUUGAGUACUGGAGAGGCAGACGGAAUUCCUAGUGUAGCGGUGAAAUGCGUAGAUAUUAGGAGGAACACCAGUGGCGAAGGCGGUCUGCUGGACAGCAACUGACGCUGAGGCGCGAAAGUGUGGGGAGCAAACAGG
rnacentral:rRNA from 1 species